rnacentral:lncRNA from 1 species
CCUGACCCGCCCGUACAUAAGCGCCGCCGUGGCCCUGCACUUCGGCAUCGAGCCGGCCGGCGCCGGCUCUACCCCUACUACGUGGUGGCGCUGUGGCCCACCCUGGGUGACCCCGCGGCCAUCUCGGGUGUGGCGAGGAGCAGCGGCCCCCUGCGCCCUCCGGCCAGCCUUCCCGCAUGGCAGAGAGGUGGCAACCGCGGCGUCCGGCGCCGUUCCCUGACCUCGGGCACGAUGGAGAGAGGAAGAAGAAGGAACCAGGGUAGGAGAGAGAGAGACGGAAGAAGAGAUAGUGGCGGGCCCCGCCCGUCAGUGAGAGAGGGAGGGAGUGGAUAAGGUGGCCCCACCUGUAAGGGAGAGAGAGGUCAACCCCCCCGGGCCCGCGCGGUUUAACUGGAAGCGCCUUCCCUGGGAUGCGCUUUCUAUUCGGUGAAAGCGUAUUCCCAGGAAUGCGCUUUCUAUUUUAAAACCCCGCCGGCUGAACUGCUUUUAUUGUGAACGUUCACUGGUUAAGAGCAGAAACGAAUAAGUUUUUAUUUGAUUUCUGCCUAACAAAUGAACGCCCAUAACUUUUCAACCGUAACUCCGAUUGAGGUAAAACCAGCGCCCACGUCUUCGUCUCGUUGAGCCGGUCUCGAUAGUAUUACUUUCAUAAGAUGUUUGUGUAGUAGAAAUGACCAUUUUUCCCUUGCCUUUGUUUGAGCCUUCCGAGAAGGAAGCCCUCUCCGGCAAAGCUUUCCGGUGUGUUAUUGCACUUCUUCCCGGAGUAUUCAUCGACCCCCAGGCAAGCCAACCUCUUGCUAAGAGCUCCGGACAUGCGUGAUAACUUUGCUUGCACUUUGUGUGUUCAUGUGUAUCACCUGUUAGCCUGCAUUUGUAUAUAAUUGUGACAUCAUUAAUAACAGUCCC